rnacentral:lncRNA from 1 species
AAAAAAGCUUGGGUGCAUUUUGGAUGAGGAACUGAAAUGAAGGUUAAUGCCUGAUAUCUUGAUCACUAACUAAAAUAAGACAGAUCAGGAGUACAGGGCGUGGCCAGGAGGAAGUGGCUGUGGUAUAGAAAAGGCCACAGGAAGAGGAGGCUCUGGUGCCUAGGGAGUGGUUCCGGACUCUGGAGAAGAGGGCAUGGUAUCUAGAGAGCAGAAAGGUCUCCAGGAACCAUCUAAGGAUCUUUGAUUGUCCGAUUUUUACAUCAUCACUGAAAGAAAAGAAAGCCUUGUGGUUAUCAUAGGAACUGUCUCAUAUACCACAAAAAUCUACCAGCAAUAUAGGAAAUCUUUAAGAGUUCAUCUUCUGAUGCCAAAUGUGGCCCACUCCAGUUCUACAAGCAAAUCUGACAGAAGAGAGCACCUGUGUCCACCAGCUCACACAUACAAGAUUCCUCCUGGUGGCUAAGGCUGUUUGUGUCCCUGGUUUGGGGCCAGUGAGACUUGACAAGGAACACUGAUGGGAAACAGUUGGCGGGAGGAUUCUUCACUUCUGAGCCGUAGCCCAAAUGGAGGUUUCAGGCUCCUGACGUCUCGUGUUCUUCCUCUCAGGUGACUUGCUUUCUACAUGCCUUAACUGUGCCCUCUGUUGUAUCUACUAUGAUAAACCAGUAGCAAGGACAUUACUGUCGUGAGAAAUGGAGAACAUAACAGACUAAGGUGAUGGAAGGAAAGAGUCUUGUCAACAUCUUGGCCUUGCAGUCUCCAGCUUCCACACUGUCAAGAAAUGAGUAUCUAUUGUUUAAUCAAAAAAGUGUUUUCUGCUCUUAAGCAAAAGGACAAUGCUGUACUUACCUUCCAGCUGUCCCCUUCUCUGCCCUCAGACUGUGACAAUCAUGUUUUGACCACAAGAACAAGAUGUAAGACCCAAGGAGAGAGGGGGAGAGGGAGGAUGGCUCAUGGACACCAAAAUACGGACAGAAGUAAUAAAUUGUUCUGUUCUACAAAACAAUAGAAUAGGUGUCCCCACAGUAACUGCUGCCAUAGUCCAUAAAAGUCACUAGAAGGGAGAUGUUUGUUGGCUUCGAACACAAAGCAACAAUGACAGAAAGAGGAACAGCUCUGAUUUGAUUAGUGCCUGUGGUACAGACACAUGUAUUGAAAUGUCACUUGACCUGCUGGUCCAGCUCAGUGAGAGCCCAGUGCUUUUUACUUGAAGUCUGGAAAGCUGGCCGAUUUGUAUUGUUGACAAUGUUGGGGACAAAGAGUAGAUGAUGAAGAAUUAAAGACGUGGUUGCAUCAGAAUUGUAGUACUUGGAGACUUGUUAUUCCCUCUGAGUGUCCUACUUCCCUGCGGGGGUCUCGGUCCACCAUGGCCCACAAAGUGAUGUGGGAGGCAAGAAGGUAGUAAGAUCAACACAACUCAGUAGCUGGAGUUCAUUCAAACUUCAGGAGUCUCCCCCUGAGUAGCUUAUUUCAGGCACACUUAAGCAGGGCACAAUUUGGUGAAAAUCUUCCUCACAGUAACUAAUUCUGUAUGCACAAUAAAGUUUGAGAUGUGACUACAUUGAAGCUCUUUAUGAAGUAGAUAUGACGUCUUCCAUAAAGACGGCUUCUAUAGAUUGACAGGCGCAUGAUAGGGGUCUGGGGGAGGCUCCAGUGUGGUCUUGACACACGAAUACUGCAAAGGUGGCCGGGCUGUCAACCAUCUCUGCUCCCAGCCUUCUGUGCAGAUAAAGAGGUUAUGCAUCCCUGCCUUAGAAAGAACCUCCGUGUGUGUUUAACAUUCUUGUUUCCUUUGGUGCUUAACUGUGAGCACGAGGACUCCAUGCUCCUACACCUCCCUUUCAGUAACCCAGUUUCAUCGACGCCCUAAGAGCCACUGUGAUUUAUCAAGAGACUCAGCUUGCUCUCAGCAGAUCCCAUACCCUUUGUCCUCCUAAGUUGCUUAGAUAAAAAGGAAAUAGAAUUAUACUUCAUUUGGACUCCACUUACAUUUUCCUUGUCUUUUUUUAUUAAGCCUGGACUAUGACCUUUGUUGGCAGGAGCUGAGCAUAAUCAGGUUAGCUCAGAUCUUUCUGAAUGUGGCACCCUGGGGCAAGAAAGCUUGGGGGCUCUGAGGAGUGGCCCUGUACAGUGGCAGUUGAGUUAUCCCCAAGGGUUCUUUAGUCCCUGGUGUUUUGCAUCUGGCCUGCCGGAGGGCUUGGAGUAAGGGGAGCUUACUCAAGAAAAGGCAGCCGUCAAAAUCUCACCCAUAUCAAAUUUACAUAGGCUGCUCCAAGAUGAUACCUCUCCAUCCCUGGUCCAGGGAAAGAAGAUGUGGAAUGCAGCUCAAUCACUAAAGAACUAACCAUGUAAGCAUAAGGACUUAGUUUGUGCCCCAGGACAUACACACACACACACACACACACACACACACACACACAAACACCAAAGCUAGGUGUGGUGAUAUACAAUUACAAUACUAACAUUGGACAAACUGAGAGCAGAGCCCCUAGCCUAGUCUACCAGGCCGAGUUAAAGGUCCAUUAAAAUUUUCCUCCUCUUCCAAGUCCCAAGCCUGGGAUUUUCCAAAAGCGCACCUUUGUCCUUCCCAGCUAUUGGCUGUUGACAUUUUAAUUUACAAAUCAGAACCAACUGGGAUAGGUUCCUAGAAGCUACCUGCAGACACUUGAGUAAGCAGCUUUGGGAGGACAUAAUUGGAGGAUACAAGCAUAAUGAGAAUACAAGCAGCUACAAGUAAGUCUUUCAAUAAAGUGCUUGCUAUGCAAGUGUGAGGAGUUUGAAGCUCCAGGAUGCAUGUAAAAGCCUAGCUCAGCAGACGGCCAGCAGACAGCAGUUGUAUCCCUGCAUCCAUCAAGGUAGAUGGCAGGGAAUAGGACACUGGUAGGUGGGAGAUAAGAGAUAGGUAGAUAGGAGAUAGCUAGAUGGGAGAUAGGUAGCUAGGAGACCAGAGAGGCUCCAGAAGUUUGUAGCUCAGCUGGCCUGGUGUUCCCAGCUGCAAACAACAUGACCUUGUCUCAAACAAGAAGGAAAACAAGGACACGGAGGGUGUCCUCUGAUCUCCAUACACGGGCGUGGCGCACACUCACUUGUCCUCAUACAUGAACGUGUGCAAACACACACAUAUACACACAUCACAGACACACAUGGGUAAUAUACACAUCACACUGAAUAUAUAAAUAUUAUCCUAUUAUAACUUGUUGUAUAGUAUUUGGGAAAUGUUCAAUAUAGCCAAUUAUGAGAAACAUUCAAAGUACAUGUAUUGGAAGGUAAGAUCAAUACGCACAGACUCCUUUUUCUUUUUCUUUAAUUAUAUUUUAUCAUUGUGUGUGUGCUUGUGUGCACGUGUACCUGUGUGCAUGAGUGCAAGGUUUCCUGUGAAGAAGUCACAAGACAGUUUUCAGGAGUUGCUCCUUCCUUUCUUGGUGACAUAGGGGCUCUUAUAUUCUCCAAACUCCAGGCCAUCAGGGUGAGUCUCCUGUCUCCACUUCCGACUCGCUGGGAUUCUGGGUGAGACCCAUGCAUCUGGCUUAGUGUGGGUUCUGGGGAUUUGACUCAAGGUAUCGUGUUUUCAUAGAAGGUGGUUUAUGUGAUGAGCUAUCUCUCUGGAUUUCUGCCUUUUUAUACAUUUCCUUAUUCUUCAUGGUUGCUCUCUAAUAUCCUUUGUGUUAAACACUGAGAAUUACCAAGAUCAGCUAGAAAAAAAGAAAAAAAAAAAAAAACCUGAGGUGGAAGACAGACCAGUGAUUAUCUUUCAUGACCACUUCAAAACCUCGCAGGUAGCAUGAUGAUGAUAAAUACAGAAUCUGCGGAUACAGCUCAGCUCACAGACUGCUUGCCUCCCACAAUGCCCUGGGUCCAAGCCCUAGAGCUGCAUAAACUUGUGUGGUGGUGCAUGCCUGUUGCCCCACACUUGGGAGAUAAGCAUAAGAUGCAUAAGAGUGUGUGAAAUCCAAGGCCAUUCUCGCCUCAUCCGGACUUUGAGGCUAACUUGGACUACAUGAGAUCUUGUCUUCAAACAUUAUUUAUUUGUAAUGCAAGUGGGACUCUUCUAAAAAGAGACAAGAGGUGAUCUGUGUGGAUCUAAGACCUAUAGUCUCAGGCUAGAGAGAUGGUUCAGCAGUUAAGAGCACUGACGGCUCUUCCAGAGGUCCUGAGUUCAAUUCCCAGCAACCACAUGGUGGCUCACAACCAUCUGUAACUGGGUCUGAUGCCCUUUUCUGGUGUGUCUGAAGAUAGCGAAAAUGUACUCACAUAUAUAAAAUAAAUCUUUAAGGAAAAAAAACCUAUAAUGUCUAAAUAUGCUUAUAAGAAAAAUGUAGCAUUAAAUCUGGAUUGACCACCCUCUGCUCAUCACCAGAAGAGACACGUAGCCUUCUGGAAUAAGAGAUGGGCGUGGCCAGUGGUGGCACACGCAUUUAAUCCCAGCACUUGAGAGGCAGAGGCAGGUGGAUUUCUGAGUUUGAGGCCAGCCUGGUCUACAGAGUGAGUUCCAGGACAGCCAGGGCUACACAGAGAAACCUUGUCUCGAAAAACCAAACCAAAACAACAACAACAAAAACAAAACAAAACAAACAAACAAAAAAAACCAAAAUGGGUGUGUGCACAAUUAAAUAAGCCAUGAACGGAAGGCUUUCCCUGUGAGCCUUCCCUGGAUGGGCCAUGGUGUACAAGAUCUCUGGCAAUCGAUUACCUGAGACACCCCUUCCCCUCAGGGUGUCCUCUUUCUCUCUGUCUUGAAAUAGGCCAGGAGGAAAUUCUCCUUAUAACCAGGAACCUCUACUGUCCUUACUUAGUCCUUCCCACACCCAGCCUGCCAGGAUGUCCGGGCCUCAUGACCCAUCACCCAGAACACGUAGAUUGUCUCCAGCCUUCUACAAAGAGAAGUGGCCCUGUUGGUGUCUGUUCUUCAGGGUCAGUUUCACUUCCCUAACAGUUAUUGCAUGGGGAGGUUUUCUGUAAGUCAUGAUCUAGGUAUGCUGGGAGAUGCUACGCGCACAGACCCACCCCUGUGGGCCACAGAGGACACAAACGUAUCCCAGAGUAACCUGGCCUGGGAUUUUAAGAUUUCUUUUCUCUCCUCCACCAGGAAGACUGUCCCAAGGACUUUCUUCUAGUAGCUGUCUGGAGAGGAUGACUUGACGCAUGUGCACCCCUGCAGACGGAUGCUUGGGGACAAUACUUCCGGUGUGGGGAUGGGGAGGUCAUUGGAAGGGAAAGGAAGGGAAAAAAAGACAGUGGAGGAUAGCAUAACCAGAAUUUAUGUAUAUAUCAUUUGCACAAUAACAAAAUAAAUCAAUUACAAAACAGAAAAAUCUGCAUUCAUUUUUUUCCAUGGCUGAAUAUUCACCUGCAGACAGGUUUCUCACCCUCUCACUCACCUGUCGAUAGACACUCUUUGUUUACAGCGUGGUUAGCCAGAAGAGGGCUGCUUGCAUACUUUUCUCUCGAGAUACCUGUUCAAAUCACUUCCAGUUCUCUCUUGGGUACAAAAAUGAAAUUUCUGGGUCAUGUGGUAGUUUCAUCUCCAACUUGUAGAAAUCACCAAACUGCUUCCUGCAGUGGCUUUGGCAUUUGCCAUGCUCAUGAAGGUCAUGUGUCCCCUACAUUCUCACCAACUCUUAUUUUCCACUUUGUUCUGUUUCCUAACUUUCCUAGCAAAUGAAGAGUGGUGUCUCACCCUGGCCCAGUUUACCUCUCUACUGACUGAUGAUGCUGAUCUUAGUUCUGUGAGCUUAGCCCAUGCCGAAAUGUUUGCUGAGUCAUUGGCUUACACUUGACCUAGAUUAUUGGAGGUUUGCUGUUACUCUUGGGUUUUAGCCAUCCUUUAUAGAUUUAGAUUUAGAUCCUUUAUCAGAUGUGAGGUUUGCACACACCUUCCUCCGUGCUGAAGGUUGUCAUCCUUUGUCAACCUUUUUAACUUUGAUGAGCGUACAAUUUCUGUCUUUUGUUGUUGUUUGCAGUCUGUGGUUGACCUGGCCUCGGAUGGCAUAAGGAUUCUCUUAGGAUGUCUCACAAACAACAUCCCAGACAGCUCAGUUUGGUUUUCUACUCUCUAUCAUCAUAUAAUUUCUACAUAAUAGAAUUUGUGUGCAGCUGAAUGCUCUUUUACACCUGAAACUUUCUAACUACACAGUCUUAUCCACAUAGGCGAGAAUCAUAAACAAUCUGAGUGCCCAUCAAUAGAUAAAAGUGGAGGGCUGGAGAGAUGUCUCAGUGGUUAAGAGCACUGGCUGUUCAUCCAGAGAUCCUGAGUUCAAUUCCCUGCAACCACAUGGUAGCCCUCAAUAGGAUCCGAUGCCCUCUUCUAGUGUGUCUGAAAACAGAACACUCAUGUACAUAAAAUAAAUGUUAAAAACUUUUAAAAAAUAGAUAAACAAUCUGAGAGUCUAUCAACAGCAGAACAAAUAGAUAAUUCAUGACAUGUGGAGACACUGGAAUAAGAAGCAACCAUUUUUUAAAAAAGAAUGCAGUAUCCGAGGCAACAUGGACAUAUCUCACUGAUGACAAGGAAGGAGUCCAGACACAAGACAACAUACUCUGGUUCUCUUUAUUAUAAAGUUGAGGAAUCGGGGAAUCUACUAUCACAGACACCAGUGGUUUCUGGGAUGGGAUAGUUAUCAGGAAAGGGCACAAACGAGACAAGGAAGCUUUGAGAGGAAUAAUGCUAAAGUAAAAUUCAUAUCGUGAUGUAGGCUAUGACCGUGUGUGUGUGUGUGUGUGUGUGUGUGUGUGUGUGUGUGUGUGUGUGAAUUCAUCAAAUUUAUACAUGAAUUGCAUACUUUACUAUUUAAAUAUUGUGCCUCAAUUAAACAUUUUGAAUAUCUGGGUACUGGUGUGCAGUUCAGUAGCAGAACCCUUUCCUACCAUGCAGAAGAGCCUUGGGUAUGUCCCCUGGCUCAACUAAUUUGCUUUUUAAAAAUCUCUUGCUAAUAGGUUCACAGGGUUCCUGUUAGUAUAUAGAUCUGGUGAGGUUUUCCCAGGACACAGUUUGAACUAAAUCUAAAACAUUGUGCUUUCUCUGGGAAGCAUCCAGAUGCAUGAUAGAGGGUAAUCAAUACACAUAGAAGUAACAGAGGAUGCUCAAUCAACAACAGAAGUAAGUGAUAGAGGAUAACCAAUCAACACCAG